GACGAACGCUGGCGGCGUGCCUAAUACAUGCAAGUUGAACGAUGAUUUCUGGUACUUGUAUCAGAAUGAAGAGUAGCGAACGGGUGAGUAACGCGUGGGUAACCUACCUYUUAGCGGGGGACAACUAUUGGAAACGAUAGCUAAUACCGCAUAACAAUGCUUAACACAUGUUAAGCAUUUGAAAGUACCAAUUGGUACACUAGGAGAUGGACCCGCGUUGUAUUAGCUAGUUGGUAGUGUAAUGGACUACCAAGGCGAUGAUACAUAGCCGACCUGAGAGGGUGAUCGGCCACAUUGGGACUGAGACACGGCCCAAACUCCUACGGGAGGCAGCAGUAGGGAAUCUUCGGCAAUGGACGAAAGUCUGACCGAGCAACGCCGCGUGAGUGAAGAAGGUUUUCGGAUCGUAAAACUCUGUUGUUAGAGAAGAACGUUGUGU
rnacentral:rRNA from 1 species